UAAAAUAAUCACUGAGAAAUUAGGUAGGCCAACCUACCAAUAAACUUUUUCAGAUACUUGGUUUUCAUAAUCAUUAUCACCCACUAAAGAUCCCCUCUCAUAAAGAAAACGGCUAUAUGUACGAUUCAAGAUUAUAUAUGAUGAUCCACAUGAUUAUAAUACAAUUAAUUAUUAAUUAACUUCCUUUAAUUACCUAAUAAAAACAGUUCCAAGGGAUGGGAUGAAGAUGAGUAGCACUAUAUGAUUCAUUUCUUCAUUGGUUUAUUUUGAAUGUUUGAGUCAAUAUGCAGCAGAAGAGAGACAAGGGGGAAUUGAGCAUAAAUAUAUGCAUCUCCGCUUAGGCUUAUUCCUUUAUUUUUUUUUUGAGCUAGCUCAUCGAUCAAUAUGGGGGUUGCUUCCCUUGGCAAUCAUGAGUCCAACUGCCAUCAUUACCAUACAGGAGAAAUCCCUCUCUCUCUCGUAGCACAUACCCACCAGCCCACCACAUGGAUAAUAACACACCUAUAUUUAUAGCAACUUUCAUAUCCCACUCUCCUCCCAAUUCUCACUUGUUCUUUUGUCCUAAUUCUUGUUGAACAACGAGUGAAACCCUGAAGAGAAUGUGUAUAAACAGAGUAGACAAGUUCCCAUCUUCUCCUUCCUACUCUGCAAAGGGAAAGCAACGAUCAAAGAAGCCUAAGAUUCAAGUUCUCGGACUCGCCAGGAGAAGUUGCCAAGAAGAGGAAGGCAGAGAUAUGGAGCUGAAGAACUUGAAGCUGUAUUUGGAGAACCAAAGUAUCGUUGAAGAGAACGAGAAGUUGAGGAAGAUAGCUAAUCUUCUGCACCAAGAAAACUUGGCUUUAAUGUCCGAAUUUCAAAAGAAAUUCCCUCAUUUGGAUCGCUUCUCCACUACCCUUUGUCCUUUUAAAUAAUGAAUACUAAUAUUUAUGAAAGAGAGAGAAGAAAAAAAAACAGAAAAGAGAGCCUUUCUUCACUCUUUAAUUUCUUUUCUGAUAUUUUCUUCUUCUCAAGUAUGUUAAUAAGAUGUAAUGGGCUUGUCUAGAAGUAGAAGUUGCUAUUAUUAUUAUCAUGGUAAAUGAUGAUGAAAUAUUGUAUGCCAACUAAACUUCAAUUAAUGAUUCUCUCUCUAUUUUUAUUUUGGAA